UACGUAGGGCGCAAGCGUUAUCCGGAAUUAUUGGGCGUAAAGAGCUCGUAGGCGGUUUGUCGCGUCUGCUGUGAAAUCCCGAGGCUCAACCUCGGGCCUGCAGUGGGUACGGGCAGACUGGAGUGAUGUAGGGGAGACUGGAAUUCCUGGUGUAGCGGUGAAAUGCGCAGAUAUCAGGAGGAACACCGAUGGCGAAGGCAGGUCUCUGGGCAUUAACUGACGCUGAGGAGCGAAAGCAUGGGGAGCGAACAGG
rnacentral:rRNA from 1 species